rnacentral:rRNA from 1 species
CCUACGGGUGGCAGCAGUGAGGAAUAUUGGUCAAUGGGCGCGAGCCUGAACCAGCCAAGUAGCGUGAAGGAUGACUGCCCUACGGGUUGUAAACUUCUUUUAUAAAGGAAUAAAGUGAGGCACGUGUGCCUUUUUGUAUGUACUUUAUGAAUAAGGAUCGGCUAACUCCGUGCCAGCAGCCGCGGUAAGACGGAGGAUCCGAGCGUUUGCCGGAUUUAUUGGGUUUAAAGGGAGCGUAGAUGGGUUGUUAAGUCAGUAGUGAAAGUUUGCGGCUCAACCGUAAAAUUGCAAUUGAUACUGGCAGCCUUGAGUACAGUUGAGGUAGGCGGAAUUCGUGGUGUAGCGGUGAAAUGCUUAGAGAUCACGAAGAACUCCGAUUACGAAGGCAGCUUACUAAACUGCCACUGACAUUGAUGCUCGAAAGUGUGGGUAUCAAACAGGAUUAGAUACCCUAGUAGUC